rnacentral:rRNA from 1 species
UUGAACGCUGGCGGCAUGCCUUACACAUGCAAGUCGAACGGUAGAGGGGCAACCCUUGAGAGUGGCGAACGGGUGAGUAAUAUAUCGGAACGUGCCCAGUCGUGGGGGAUAACGCAGCGAAAGCUGCGCUAAUACCGCAUACGAUCUAUGGAUGAAAGCGGGGGAUCGCAAGACCUCGCGCGAUUGGAGCGGCCGAUAUCAGAUUAGGUAGUUGGUGGGGUAAAAGCCCACC